rnacentral:rRNA from 1 species
CAAGGGCCACUGGAUGAGGGGCCUGCGUAGCAUCAGCUAGUUGGUGGGGUAAUGGCCUACCAAGGCGAAGACGCUUAGCUGGUCUGAGAGGAUGAUCAGCCACACUGGGACUGAGACACGGCCCAGACUCCUACGGGAGGCAGCAGUGGGGAAUAUUGGACAAUGGGCGCAAGCCUGAUCCAGCCACGCCGCGUGAGUGAUGAAGGCCUUCGGGUCGUAAAGCUCUGUGGGGAGGGACGAACGGCGCCAUGAAGAGUGGCGAUUGACGGUACCUCCUUAGCAAGCACCGGCUAACUUCGUGCCAGCAGCCGCGGUAAUACGAAGGGUGCAAACGUUGCUCGGAAUCAUUGGGCGUAAAGCGCACGUAGGCGGCUUUCUAAGUCGGAUGUGAAAUCCCUCGGCUUAACCGAGGACGUGCAUCCGAAACUGGGAGGCUUGAGUAUGGAAGAGGGUCGCAGAAUUCCCGGUGUAGAGGUGAAAUUCGUAGAUAUCGGGAG